rnacentral:rRNA from 1 species
UACGAGUGCCCAAGCGUUAUCCGGAAUUAUUGGCGUAAAGGGUGUGUAGGUGGUUUUGUUAGUCUUCUGUUAAAGCCGUCCCGGCUUAACCGGGAAAGUGCAGAGGAAACGGCAAGACUAGAGGAUGUAAGAGGUAUGCGGAACUCAUGGUGUAGGGGUAAAAUCCGUUGAUAUCAUGGGGAACACCAAAAGCGAAGGCAGCAUCUGGUGCGACUCCUGACACUGAAACACGAAGCGUGGGUAGCGGAAUGGG